GCCGGCGUAGUUUAGCCUGGUUAGAGCGCCAGACUCAUAAUCUGGAAGUCGGGGGUUCAAUUCCCCCCGCCGGCA
rnacentral:tRNA from 1 species